CUGAACUCUUUACUAAUCAUAUUUUCUCUGAUCAAUGUACUUUUCAAUUGCUCAUCUUCCAGCCUUUCAGCUUGAUAUUUGAAUUCACGUUCCCAUUUACAUUCACAAAGAGUAUUUUUGUCAAAGGUGCACUUAAGCCAUAAAUUGAGUCUUACUACAUGUUGAACGGUUCACCUAGAUUAAUGAGUGCUUUGUCUCGAAGACAUACUUUACCUUGUCAAUGAGUGUAAUCCUGAAGAUGUGACACUAAACAACUGAUAUUUCACUUCAUCAUAUUUUCUUCCAAAUUUUUAGUCCAUAUACUUGUUAUUUCGUGCUUUUGAUUAUUGACCUUCGACGAGGCAGACAUAUCUGAAGUUUUUCUCCAUUUGUGCCUUUUCUCAUCAGAGGCCACACUCUUUUUGCUUAAAGCCCCAAAGGACCUUGUAGCUUUUUUGCGCGUUUCACUUUUGAUAACACUGAUCAAGAGUGAGCCCGUUUGGAUUGGCUUUUAAAAAAGUAGCUUUUUUAAGUCAAAAAAUAAAAAAGUAAGGAGAGUCCUACUUUUUGGUUUAUAACUUUUUCAAGUCAUUUUGAACUUAUUUUAAGUUACUUUUAACCUUGCCAAACACUCUAAAAAAUUAAGGACUUACAAGUAGGUUUGACCAACUUUUAAGCCACUCCAAACAUGUUCGGAGUUUUUUGUAAAUAAUUUGCUAAAAUUAAAAGAGGCCAUAUGCUUUCAUUCUUUUUUUACCCGUGUUUCCACCUCUGGUCUUAGCCCGUUUUACGUUCUAGAACUUAGCAAGUUGAUUGUAUUCUUUUGAUCUCUUUAUCGUUUUUGCCAUUCCAAGAUUCUUUCUUCUGCAAGGGAAAUCAAGCAGACAGAAAGAGAGCAAACUAAUCGCUUUCCUCCUCAUCCCAUUCUCACUCUUGUGUAAGUAAGCCUUAAGGAGGGAAUCUCUGAUUUUAGUAUUUGAAAGCAGCUGCCUCCGUGUUCAUAUGUUCUUAGGUUGUCUUGCUAUUGGAUUUGAUCAUCUAUAGUUAAGUAGUUCUUGACAAAUAAAAGAUCUAGGAAACUGAAGCGAAGUGGGUCCAAUGUGCUUUUCUUUCCCCUUAUCUCUUUCAAUUCAAUGCUUGCCCAAAUGUACAGAAUCUUGCAGUACAUAAGUCCUAUCUCCCUCAAUGGACUUCAAGUCCUAUUCAAACUUUUGGGGUCCAACAAGUCGGAUUCCUCUCGACUCUUUCGUAACUAGAAUUCUAUUAAUUAUAUUUUGUUCCAAUGCUGUCUUAAAUUAGUAAUUGGCUAUCAGACCAUCUAGCUUAAAAUAGUUUAUAGUUUGAAAAGGAUGUUUAUGAUAAUGAUAAUAGUACUUUUUUUUUUGGACAAUGUAAGUAGCUAGUAUAUUGAAAGGAGAAAUUUCCCAACAACAAGCUGGUGCUAAGUCUAUAUAAGUAUCAGGAGACCUUCCAAACAUAACAAAAUGGAAGGAUUUCUCCAGUGAAAAAUCUAUGCUUGCAGGGAGCAAUGGGUGCAGUGUAUUGGUAAAAAAUUAUCCACGUCGAAUGCUUACAUUAAACCAAUAAAGUAAACCUUAUCAGUUCACAUUUAAGAAAAAAUACAUAUCACUUGACCAUGGUCAAGUGUUAAAUAUGUAUGUGAAAGACAUGUGUCUUGCAUUUAUCGAUUUGGUGUAAGCACUUGGUGCAGGUAAGUAUCUACCACUGGUUUUCUCCCAACCCAACUAACACUCCGAAUACACAGACUGCACCUCCCAAUAUCCCAUUUUUAUUCCAAUGAACCAAAAAUCCAACAAUAGAAGUAUACCCACUGAAUAAUCCUGUAUAAUUUAAUCUCCAUAUUGUUAUUCCGAGUUAACUUCUUAUCUACCAAACUACUCCUAAGAGUUGUAAUAGGUCUUAAAAGUGCAGCCCACAAGUAGGGGCAGAGCACCAAUCAUUUUUGGAGCAACGGGUCGAUGUAUUGGUAAAAGUUUAUCCGCGUCGGGUGUUUACAUAAAACAAAUAAAGUUAAUCUUAUACGGUUAACAAUUAUGGGAAAAUACAUUAACCUUGGUUAAGUGUUAAAUAUGUAUGUGAAAGACAUGCGUCUUGCAUUUAUUGGUUUGGUGUAAACACUCGGUGCGGGUAAGCAUUUACCCAGUGUAUUUUCUCCCAACCCAGCUAACACUCCGAAUACACGGACUGUACCUCCUGCUCCUGGAUUAUGAUCUGCCUUUACAUCAACAAUAGCAUACCUAGUGUGAUCCCACAAAUGGGAUCUUAAAUGGGAAGGGGGGGGGGGGUGCGCUCGCAGACGUUACCCCUACUUUGCGGGGAUCAGGAUCUGCCUUUGCCAAUGAAAAAAAAAGUUCUAUCAGUAAUUUUCCCAAAUACUUGCUAUAUUAGACAUAUGUUUCGAUCAGGCUCAAAAUCUAAUUUUAUCGUGUCUUUCAUAAUCUAUAAGAUGUCAUGUAGAAACUUACUCACCUUAAUUUGUUCUUUUACCUUUCUCUCUCCCAUAUUUUGUUUUAGUUUCAAAAAAAAAAUGUGGAAGAGAGAAAGGUUAAAGGUUGUUGUGUAGCAUAAAUAUAUAUUCUGAAGGAUAACAACUGCUGUAAGUACUGCUACAUUCUACUGACAGGUGCCACAAACUGUGUUUCUUCUUAGGACACUUAGGAGUUCUUAUGUCUCUUAGUCUCGAACUUUUGGAUGGGUGAUAUCCUAAUUCUUGCCGCUUGUUCUGUAUAUGGCGAUGAGAUGGAAUUGUGUAGAAUAUCUUUUUUUUUUUAGUAAGGUAACUUUGUAUUAAAACCAGUAUUUAGGUGUACUGAAAAAACCAUUUUCAAAUGGAAUAGGUACAGAAUAUACCAGAUAUGAAACCAAUCCUAAGUGGUGUCUAGGACAUCUGGGAUUGAUUCAGUGUCACUAGAAUACAGUUUAGUGCACCAAAAACAGAAAAGCAAAAUGCAUUUUAGAUUAAUAUUGUGUACUAAACUCCUAUCCUCAAAACAUCUUGUGUAGAAUAUCUCUGUGCGUGAACAAUUCUUUAUGUUAUGCUGGACGUGUAUGUUGCAAUUUGUUCAUUACUCUUCUAAUUUUUCUUCCUUUUUUUAAAAAAAAAUUUUGGAGAAGCAAUUAUCUUGUUUCUGCACAAAAGGUCUUAGUGAUAUUAUACAAACCAGUAUAUAAAAGAUCAGUCAUGUAUAAAAACUAAUUAUCAUUUCUGUUGUUCACACAAUACUGGAAUCACUCAUUUUCAGCUUUAUUUCUAUCCAAGAGAUAAUUAAGAAAAGUAUAUGAAGUUAAAACUUGAUUGUAGUCAAUUUGGAAUCUGGUCAUCAAAGCAAUAGAUUUGUUAUUUCACUAGUUCCUACCUUUAUUCUUUUUCCAUGAUGCAUCUUGGAUGAGCUAAAAGCCUUACAGGGUAGAUAUGAUAUAGAUGUAUUUACUAAUUAUAAUUUCUAUUGUUCACACUAACCGAAAUCACUCACUUCCAACUAUAUUUCUAUCCAUGCAAUGAGUAAGAAAAGUAUAUAAAUUUGGAGCUAGAUUAUAGUCAAUAGGGAAUCGGGUUAUAAAGUAACAGCUGUUCUAUUUCAUUCAUUCUACCUUUAUUCUUUUGGCGUAUCUUAGAUGAGCCAACAGCCUUAAAAGAGUAGAUAAUGAUGUAAAUGCUAAAUACAUUGGUCAGCUAGAGGUUGCCAGUUUCAUAACUUUUACAAGACACUUUCUGUCAAGAUAACACUAUCUUGGUGUAUUAUUAGUGAACUCUUUUUUAUUUAUCAAAAGAAAGUUGUGUAUAUAACUUCCAGUCCUUUCCAGGAAAUACAUUGUCACUUGUGAUUUCCGUUAGGCCCACCGGCCAGCACUUGCUUAGAUCACCACCUUCUUCUGAUUUGUCUUUACAUCCAUUCACUUUCUUUUUGUCCAAAAAUUAUCGAAUAUUAUACAUUCUUUGGGUAAUUCCAUCACUUUGAUCUUGUCCUCCCAAGUCUUUUGAAAUUUGAAACAAAUAGUGCUAGAGGUAGGUCAGAACUAGAAUUUCUAGCCCAUGGAUUAGGGCUUGGACUUUUCAGCAUACCCCAAAAUGGAUUACACUUUCUUGUGUUCUGUGGUGCUGCUGUUUUUUCUCCUGUUAGCAUUCAAUAUUGGAGGGAGUUCACUUUCCACUAUUUUCCAAGAUAGUGCUCCUCGUCUCAGCUUCUCUGGAAAUUAUCGUUGAAUAUACAGAAUUCCAUAAA